AAACUUCAUAAAGGGUAUACAUGUUUAGAUUUUUCUUCCGGUAAAAUCUUUAUCUCACGCCAUGUUUUAUUUUUUGAGCAGGAGUUUCCAUUCAAGAAGUUAAAUGAUAAUUCGGCUAUGUCUACUCCAGCAGCAACUCCGACCUCAGUGCCAUUACCACCAGUACCAGUUUUCCAUCAUACACAAUCUGGGAUUCUUGGUGCCUCACCCCAUACUGCUCAACCAUUUGUGCAAAAUUCUUUACAAACAGAUGAAGAACAAACUGCUUUAAACCAGCAGCAUGAAGAAAUAAUGGGCCCC
rnacentral:lncRNA from 1 species